GACGACGCGUGGGCGGGCGUGCCUAAUGCAUGCAAGUCGAGCGGGCGUACGGUCUUCGGACUGUAGCUUAGCGGCGAACGGGUGAGUAACACGUAGGUAAUCUACCCUUCAGAGGAGGACAACCUCAGGAAACUGAGGCUAAACCUUCAUACGUUCACUGGUAGGGAUACUGGUGAAGAAAGAGUUACCUUAGUGGUAGCUGCUGAAGGAUGAGCCUGCGGCCCAUCAGGUAGUUGGUGAGGUAACGGCUCACCAAGCCGAAGACGGGUAACCGGUCCGAGAGGAUGUCCGGUCACACUGGGACUGAGACACGGCCCAGACUCCUACGGGAGGCAGCAGUUGGGAAUAUUGGGCAAUGGGCGAAAGCCUGACCCAGCGACGCCGCGUGAGGGAAGAAGGCCUUCGGGUCGUAAACCUCUGUCAUUGGGGACGAAGGAAGUGACGGUACCCAAGGAGGAAGCCCCUGCUAACUACGUG
rnacentral:rRNA from 1 species